GAUGAACGCUAGCUACAGGCUUAACACAUGCAAGUCGAGGGGCAGCAUGGUCUUAGCUUGCUAAGGCCGAUGGCGACCGGCGCACGGGUGAGUAACACGUAUCCAACCUGCCGUCUACUCUUGGACAGCCUUCUGAAAGGAAGAUUAAUACAGGAUGGCAUCAUGAGUCCGCAUGUUCACAUGAUUAAAGGUAUUCCGGUAGACGAUGGGGAUGCGUUCCAUUAGAUAGUAGGCGGGGUAACGGCCCACCUAGUCUUCGAUGGAUAGGGGUUCUGAGAGGAAGGUCCCCCACAUUGGAACUGAGACACGGUCCAAACUCCUACGGGAGGCAGCAGUGAGGAAUAUUGGUCAAUGGGCGCAGGCCUGAACCAGCCAAGUAGCGUGAAGGAUGACUGCCCUGUGGGUUGUAAACUUCUUUUAUAAAGGAAUAAAGUCGGGUAUGGAUACCCGUUUGCAUGUACUUUAUGAAUAAGGAUCGGCUAACUCCGUGCCAGCAGCCGCGGUAAUACGGAGGAUCCGAGCGUUAUCCGGAUUUAUUGGGUUUAAAGGGAGCGUAGAUGGAUGUUUAAGUCAGUUGUGAAAGUUUGCGGCUCAACCGUAAAAUUGCAGUUGAUACUGGAUAUCUUGAGUGCAGUUGAGGCAGGCGGAAUUCGUGGUGUAGCGGUGAAAUGCUUAGAUAUCACGAAGAACUCCGAUUGCGAAGGCAGCCUGCUAAGCUGCAACUGACAUUGAGGCUCGAAAGUGUGGGUAUCAAACAGGAUUAGAUACCCUGGUAGUCCACACGGUAAACGAUGAAUACUCGCUGUUUGCGAUAUACUGCAAGCGGCCAAGCGAAAGCGUUAAGUAUUCCACCUGGGGAGUACGCCGGCAACGGUAAAACUCAAAGGAAUUGACGGGGGCCCGCACAAGCGGAGGAACAUGUGGUUUAAUUCGAUGAUACGCGAGGAACCUUACCCGGGCUUAAAUUGCAGAUGAAUUACGGUGAAAGCCGUAAGCCGCAAGGCAUCUGUGAAGGUGCUGCAUGGUUGUCGUCAGCUCGUGCCGUGAGGUGUCGGCUUAAGUGCCAUAACGAGCGCAACCCUUGUUGUCAGUUACUAACAGGUUCCGCUGAGGACUCUGACAAGACUGCCAUCGUAAGAUGUGAGGAAGGUGGGGAUGACGUCAAAUCAGCGCGGCCCUUACGUCCGGGGCUACACACGUGUUACAAUGGGGGGUACAGAGGGCCGCUACCACGCGAGUGGAUGCCGAUCCCAAAAACCUCUCUCAGUUCGGACUGGAGUCUGCAACCCGACUCCACGAAGCUGGAUUCGCUAGUAAUCGCGCAUCAGCCACGGCGCGGUGAAUACGCUCCCGGGCCUUGUACACACCGCCCGUCAAGCCAUGGGAGCCGGGGGUACCUGAAGUGCGUAACCGCGAGGAGCGCCCUAGGGUAAAACUGGUA
rnacentral:rRNA from 1 species